CCUACGGGGUGCAGCAGUGAGGAAUAUUGGUCAAUGGACGAGAGUCUGAACCAGCCAAGUAGCGUGAAGGAUGACUGCCCUAUGGGUUGUAAACUUCUUUUAUAAAGGAAUAAAACGAGGCACGUGUGCCUUUUUGCAUGUACUUUAUGAAUAAGGAUCGGCUAACUCCGUGCCAGCAGCCGCGGUAAUACGGAGGAUCCGAGCGUUAUCCGGAUUUAGUGGGUUUAAAGGGAGCGUAGAUGGGUUGUUAAGUCAGUUGUGAAAGUUUGCGGCUCAACCGUAAAAUUGCAAUUGAUACUGGCAGGCUUGAGUACAGUUGAGGUAAGCGGAAUUCGUGGUGUAGCGGUGAAAUGCGUAGAUAUGACGAAGAACCCCGAUUGCGAAGGCAGCUUACUAAACUGUGACUGACAUUGAUGCUCGAAAGUGUGGGUAUCAAACAGGAUUAGAUACCCGAGUAGUC
rnacentral:rRNA from 1 species